UUGUUUGAUGCUCUGCUCUGCCCCCGAUCUUCUGUCGGUGCUCUACAGUGUCUGCUCUAUCCGCUGCAUGCACUCGAUGCUUGUCAAACUCCUCCUGGUUUCUGUCUGAUUCUCCCACGACUGAUGCCUCUUUCUGCUUGUCGGACUUCUCAUGGCUACACACCCAUGAACAUGGUUCUGUUGCCCAUAGGGCCGUUUAAAGCCCUAAAACCCA
rnacentral:lncRNA from 1 species